rnacentral:antisense_RNA from 1 species
AAAAAAUUGCAAAACACAUACCAUAUGUUUUUUAAUUGGAUAAGUCGCUAUCACAAACUUUGGACGGGGAGUGAGCGACUUCUUUUUAUUUUUUA